AUCGAACGCUGGCGGCAGGCCUAACCCAUGCAAGUCGAGCGAUCGGCGGACGGGUGCGCAAUGUAUGGGGACUGCCUGAUAGAGGUGGAUAACUACUGGAAACGGUAGCUAAUCCCGCAUACUAUCCGAUAACCCAUAUGGGAGUAGCUGGUAGGUGAGGUAAUGGCUAACCUAGGCGACGAUCCCUAGCUGGUCUGAGAGGUUGAUCCGCCACAGUGGGACUGAGACACGGCCCAAACUCCGACGGAGGCAGCAGUGGGGAAUAUUGCACAAUGGGCGCAAGCCUGAUGCAGCCAUGCCGCGUGUAUGAAGAGGGCCCUAGGGUUGUAAAGUACUUUGAGUCGGGAGGCGUUACCGACAGAAGAAGCACCGGCUAACUCCGUGCCAGCAGCCGCGGUAAUUC
rnacentral:rRNA from 1 species